rnacentral:rRNA from 1 species
AUUGAACGCUGGCGGCAUGCCUUACACAUGCAAGCCGAACGGCAGCACGGGUGCUUGCACCUGGUGGCGAGUGGCGAACGGGUGAGUAAUACAUCGGAACGUACCUUAUCGUGGGGGAUAACGCAGCGAAAGCUGUGCUAAUACCGCAUACGCCCUGAGGGGGAAAGCGGGGGAUCGCAAGACCUCGCGCGAUUAGAGCGGCCGAUGCCUGAUUAGCUAGUUGGUGGGGUAAAAGCCCACCAAGGCGACGAUCAGUAGCUGGUCUGAGAGGACGAUCAGCCACACUGGGACUGAGACACGGCCCAGACUCCUACGGGAGGCAGCAGUGGGGAAUUUUGGACAAUGGGGGCAACCCUGAUCCAGCAAUGCCGCGUGAGUGAAGAAGGCCUUCGGGUUGUAAAGCUCUUUUGUCAGGGAAGAAACACCGGCUCUAACACAGUCCGGGAAUGACGGUACCUGAAGAAUAAGCACCGGCUAACUACGUGCCAGCCGCCGCAGUAA